UUUUUUUUUUUUUUUUCUUUCAGAUAAUUUACAAGAGAAUCUGAACUCUAAACAGAGACUUUGCAUUUAGUUCCCUAUAUGUAAACAGAUUUAAUGAUUAAUGUAAUUUAUAUGAUAAGCAAUCUCAUAUCAAUGAGGAGAGGAGACAUUAAUAAAUGGUCCUGAGACAAUUGGUUAGCCUAAAGGAAUUUGGGUAGGAUCUCUAAUUACACCAAAACAUAUUUUAUACUCAAGCCCAUUUUUCCAAAUGGCAUCAUGGAACUUAGCAUAUAUAUAUUUUAAAAAAGGAAAUUUGGCUUGGUCCCCAGGACUCAGGAACAUAGAUUAUUCUGUCACAUUUCUAAUGCAGUUUCCUAGCAUGUGGUUCUUGAUCGAGCCUCUCUAGUGCUCUAGACUUCAAGAAAACACACAAAUGUGAGCUGAAAAUGCUAUAAGCCCCAGGGCUGCACCACUGGGGGUCCUAGCAGCAUCUCAGUAGGUGCACUUGGCUAAGGUAGCACUGAGGGAAGGGCCUGGAUAAAUCAUCAAGGGCCAUCUUCCAGGGAUGUGACAGUAGCAAAACAGAUGUCAGGCCUGUCACAUGCACAGCUCAGCGUUAACUCCUCUCUGGUUUUGACCUCUGUGUGUGUGUAUGUGUGUGUGUGUGUGUGUGUGUGUGUGUGUUUAAAGAUGCAUUUAUUUAUUUUAGAGAGAGAGAAAGCAGGAGAGAGGAGCAGAGGGACAGCAUCCUCAAGCAGACUCCCUGCUGAGUGUAGAACCCAACUAGGGCUCAAUCUCAGGACCAUGAGCUCACGACCUGAGCCAAAACCAAGAGUCAGAUUCUCAACUGCCUCUGUCACAUAGGCGCCCCUGUUUUUGACCAGUGGUUUGGCAGUGAGUGAGUGACCACUGCUGUGACAUCAGGAGCAAAACAGUAGCCCUCAAAGAAACAUGGUAAGAAGCACAUUUGCUUGAGCCUGAAUGGAGAUCGAUUGUUGAAAGCUUUACAUCUGAGUGUGAAAAAUUCUGGCAGAAAUGGCAAGCUACCGGGCAGCCCUGGUGGCUCAGUGGUUUAGCACCGUCUUCAGCCCAGGGUGUGAUCCUGGAGACCCGGGAUCGAGCUCCCUGCAUGCGAGCCUGUUUCUCCCUCUGCCUGUCUCUGCCUCUCUCUCUCUGUGUCUCUCAUGAAUAAAUAAAAUCUUAAAAAAAAAAAAAAAGAAGAAAUGGCAGGCUACCUGGAGGGGGGUUGAUUCAUGCAUUAUUGUCAAGAAUUCCCAAAACAGUUCUAGACAGCCUCCUAAUUUGAUCAUUGUAAUUAGAUUUUGAAGGAAGUGUGAUUUUUAUUUUGACUUGCAAGACUGUGUAAUGAAUACAAGUCAAGUGUCAAGAGAUGGAGGUAGAUUUAAAUGUAAGCUCCACCUCUUGUUAACUAUGUGCUUCUAAGUUCUCUAAACUAAAAAUUAUUUAAAAGUUUGUUGAAAUGUCCAGCCAUUCUCCUCAUUGCUCUAAGAAUCAUUUAAAAAAUUCAGUGUUCUUUUUUUUCCCUCCUGCCAUUCAUUAGGGGAAACAGAAUUCCAAUGUGUCUUUUUUUUUUUUUUUUUUAAACAUAGGGAACCACAUAAUCCUGUUGAUGAUAGCACAAAGAACCGGCCAUCUCUGUACCUCUGAUACAACAUUUAGUUUUGUCCUUGUCCCACCAUGACUCCUCUCUCAUUCUCACCAGUCUUGUUGAGGUGAUAUUGCUUUGCAUCUUCCAGUGCCCACAGCAGUCCAGACCUGCCCUUGUCUCUAAUGCUUUGUCCUCACCCGUCUCCACCAGGCUAGUUAGUACCUGGUCCCCACACUGUCCUCACCAGAAACAUGUCAGUUUUGCCCAUUACUUGGAUUUUUGCUCCAGGCCUUGACACCAUAGAUCCUUCGCCACCUCAGCCUCUUGUCUUUCCUUUUGUCAUGAAAUUUAUUUCAUAGGGUGACAGUGGAUGUAUCGACUUCUCUUCAAAGAUAAACAUCAUCAUCAUUUAGUUCAAUGGCUAAAUCAUUAAACUUCGGUACAAAAACUUAGUUUUUCAGUCUUAUCCGUAGUUACCUUGUUAUAUUCAAUAAAUAACUUUCAUUUGCUUACUAAAUAUUAGGUAUGAUUCAAUGCGUUCAUAUACAUGAUGCCUCCCUAGCCUAUGAACAUCCUGCACAAUGACUGUUGUUCCCAUUUUAAAAGUGGGGGGACUGGGGCUCAGAGUUUCAGUAUCAUGCCUAAACAUCAGAGUGAGAAUUCAAACCAAGGUAAUUUUUACUUCAAAACCUAUGUCUUUCCACUUAAUAAAAUGCCUUUAUAUUGUUUAACUCAAGACUGUGAUAUAUUUUGGAUUUUUUUUAUAUCAAGUACUAUAAAAGCUUUAUUCAACUUUAGGAAUCAAUCAUUAGUUUUUUGUUUUACUGUCAGAGAUAGUGAACUGAAAUUAUAGCUAAGUUUAUGUGACCAAAUUACUUUAAGUGACCUUGGUGAUUAAAUGGAAAAAUAAAUAGUAAACAUUUAAGUCUGGUUGUAAGGAAACUUGAUUUUCUUUAGAUUACUUAAAUAGGAAAUUAAGAGAUCCUUUAUAAAAAGAGUUUUUAAGAGAAUUUUUGAAAUUUUAUCAGCAUUAAAUAAUCAGAAAAGUUUUCAAAUAUGACAGUAAUACCCAACUCAUGUAUCUCCCAUGUAUAUUAACAGAUUUUUCUUUCAGUGAUUUACAACUUAUCCUAAAUACUUGCUUAUGAAAUGUGUGUGCUUUCCUUUGAAAUGUGGAGAGAGGUUUCCACUACAUGUAUACCCUGAAUAAAUUUGAAAAAGAAUGGUUUGCAAUAUGUUUUGUGUUUUACAUUAAUCUUAUUAAGUUUUUUUACUUUAAUUCUAGUAUGGUUAGCAUAAAGUAUUAUAUUAGUUUCAGGUGUACAAUAUAGUGAUUCAACAAUUCUAUACAUUACUCAAGGCUCCUCAUGAUGAAUGUAUUCUUCAUCACCUUCACCUGUUUCACCCAUGCUCCAGUCAUUUUCCUUCAAAAUAAAUUGUACUUUAAAAAGUGCAUUUGGAGCACCCAAGUGGCUCAACUGGUCAAGAAUCCAACUCUUGAUUUUGGGCCAGGUGUUGAUCUGAGGGUUGUGAGAUCAAGUCUUGGUAGCUCAGACCUGGGCAUGGGGUCUGCUUACCAUUCUCUCUCUCCCUCUGAUCCCCCAACCCUGAACCUCACCUCAGCUCAAACAUGCUCAAAUCAAUCAAUUAAUCAAUCCUUCAGUUAAAGUUAUUUUUUUAAACAAGAACAUUUUUUACUUGAAGCAUACUUUAGAAUAUAUGGUUCUAAAAGAUAUACAUAAAACAUUCCAUCCAAGAAAAAUAGAAUAUACAUUUUCUUCAAGUAUACACAGAAGAAUCCCCUGGUUAAAUUGCAUAAAAAGAAACAUAACAAAUAUUUCAAAUUUAAGAACACUGAAAUCAUACCAAAUAUAUUUUCCAUUCAUAAUUAUGCAAAAUGAAAGAUAAAUACUAAAGCUGGAAAAUCUACAAUGCAAAUACUAAAUAUUUAAUAUGUAAAUAUUAACACACUAUUACAUAAGCAAUGGGCCAAAUAAAUCAAACAGCAAAUCAAAAUAUGUCUCAAAAGAAAAUUAAAAUAAUAUUCAAAAACCUAGGGGAUGCAGCAAAGCAGAUAUUAGAGUGAAAUUUAUGCUAUAAAUGCUCGCAUUAAGAAAAACUUCAAAUCAAUAACAUUACAGCACAAGGAACUA
rnacentral:lncRNA from 1 species